GACGAACGCUGGCGGCGUGCCUAAUACAUGCAAGUAGAACGCUGAAGAGAGGAGCUUGCUCUUCUUGGAUGAGUUGCGAACGGGUGAGUAACGCGUAGGUAACCUGCCUGGUAGCGGGGGAUAACUAUUGGAAACGAUAGCUAAUACCGCAUGAUAUUAAUUGUCGCAUGAUAAUUAAUUGAAAGAUGCAAUUGCAUCACUACCAGAUGGACCUGCGUUGUAUUAGCUAGUUGGUGAGGUAACGGCUCACCAAGGCGACGAUACAUAGCCGACCUGAGAGGGUGAUCGGCCACACUGGGACUGAGACACGGCCCAGACUCCUACGGGAGGCAGCAGUAGGGAAUCUUCGGCAAUGGACGGAAGUCUGACCGAGCAACGCCGCGUGAGUGAAGAAGGUUUUCGGAUCGUAAAGCUCUGUUGUAAGAGAAGAACGAGUGUGAGAGUNGGAAGUUCACACUGUGACGGUAUCUUACCAGAAAGGGACGGCUAACUACGUGCCAGCAGCCGCGGUAAUACGUAGGUCCCGAGCGUUGUCCGGAUUUAUUGGGCGUAAGCGAGCGCAGGCGGUUAGAUAAGUCUGAAGUUAAGGCUGUGGCUUAACCAUAGUACGCUUUGGAAACUGUUUAACUUGAGUGCAAGAGGGGAGAGUGGAAUUCCAUGUGUAGCGGUGAAAUGCGUAGAUAUAUGGAGGAACACCGGUGGCGAAAGCGGCUCUCUGGCUUGUAACUGACGCUGAGGCUCGAAAGCGUGGGGAGCAAACAGGAUUAGAUACCCUGGUAGUCCACGCCGUAAACGAUGAGUGCUAGGUGUUAGGCCCUUUCCGGGGCUUAGUGCCGCAGCUAACGCAUUAAGCACUCCGCCUGGGGAGUACGACCGCAAGGUUGAAACUCAAAGGAAUUGACGGGGGCCCGCACAAGCGGUGGAGCAUGUGGCUUAAUUCGAAGCAACGCGAAGAACCUUACCAGGUCUUGACAUCCCUCUGACCGCUCUAGAGAUAGAGUUUUCCUUCGGGACAGAGGUGACAGGUGGUGCAUGGUUGUCGUCAGCUCGUGUCGUGAGAUGUUGGGUUAAGUCCCGCAACGAGCGCAACCCCUAUUGUUAGUUGCCAUCAUUCAGUUGGGCACUCUAGCGAGACUGCCGGUAAUAAACCGGAGGAAGGUGGGGAUGACGUCAAAUCAUCAUGCCCCUUAUGACCUGGGCUACACACGUGCUACAAUGGUUGGUACAACGAGUCGCAAGCCGGUGACGGCAAGCUAAUCUCUUAAAGCCAAUCUCAGUUCGGAUUGUAGGCUGCAACUCGCCUACAUGAAGUCGGAAUCGCUAGUAAUCGCGGAUCAGCACGCCGCGGUGAAUACGUUCCCGGGCCU
rnacentral:rRNA from 1 species